AACAAGGCGUACCUGCGGACCUGCGGAGGGAUCAUUAUCGAGUGUAACCUACCCCGUAAAAAAGGGUGGUACCUCCCGUCCUUUGCAGGCCCCCCCCUUUUGAUGGGGGGCUUUUUAAGACUUUCUGCUUCGGCGGGGUUAUUCCCGCCGGAACACCCUCCAAAAAAUCUUGAUUAAAAGCCGUUCAGUCCGAGAAUUUUUGAAAAUUAAAAAAAAACUUUUAACAACGGAUCUCAGAUC
rnacentral:misc_RNA from 1 species